UCCGGAGAGGGAGCCUGAGAAAUAGCUACCACAUCCAAGGAAGGCAGCAGGCGCGCAAAUUACCCACUCCCGAAACGGGGAGGUAGUGACGAUAAAUAACGAUGCGGGACUCAAUCGAGGCCCCGUAAUUGGAAUGAGUACACUUUAAAUCCUUUAACGAGGAUCAAUUGGAGGGCAAGUCUGGUGCCAGCAGCCGCGGUAAUUCCAGCUCCAAUAGCGUAUAUUAAAGUUGUUGCAGUUAAAAAGCUCGUAGUUGGAUCUCAGGAUUUGGAUGGAUGGUUCGCUUUCGGGCGCUACUAUCUGUCUGACCUACUCUAGUCGUGGAUGCCUUGGGUGCUCUUAAUUGAGUGCUUUUGGUGCCCGACGCAAUUACUUUGAAAAAAUUAGAGUGCUCAAAGCAGGCGUAUUGCCUGAAUAGUGUUGCAUGGAAUAAUGAAAUAGGAGUUUACUUCUAUUUUGUUGGUUUUCGGAGGUGAACUAAUGAUUAACAGGGACAGACGGGGGCAUUUGUAUGGAGGGGUUAGAGGUGAAAUUCUUGGAUCCUCUCCAGACAAACUACUGCGAAAGCAUUUGCCAGGAAUGUUUUCACUAAUCAAGAACGAAAGUCAGAGGUUCGAAGACGAUCAGAUACCGUCCUAGUUCUGACCAUAAAUGAUGCCAUCUAACAAUCCACGAAGUUUGCUUGUACGAACUCGUGGGCGGUCCCCGGGAAACCAAAGAUUUUGGGUUCCGGGGGAAGUAUGGUUGCAAAGCUGAAACUUAAAGGAAUUGACGGAAGGGCACCACCAGGAGUGGAGCCUGCGGCUUAAUUUGACCCAACACGGGAAACCUCACCCGGCCCGGACACUUUUAGGAUUGACAGAUUGAAGGCUCUUUCUUGAUCAAGUGGUUGGUGGUGCACGGCCGUUCUUAGUUGGUGGAGCGAUUUGUCUGGUUAAUUCCGAUAACGAACGAGACUCUACUCUGCUAAAUAGAACGUUGAUAUAUAAAAGUCAGUGCUGACUUCUUAGAGAGACUAACGGCGUUUAGCCGUGUGAGAAAGAGCAAUAACAGGUCUGUGAUGCCCUUAGAUGUCCGGGGCCGCACGCGCGCUACACUGACUGCAGCAACUAGUAUGCUCCUGGUUUGAAAAAACUGGGUAACCUGGUUGAAUUGCAGGCGUGACAGGGAUCAGAGUUUGCAAUUAUCCUCUGUGAACGAGGAAUUCCCAGUAAGCGCAAGUCAUUAGCUUGUGCUGAUUACGUCCCUGCCCUUUGUACACACCGCCCGUCGCUACUACCGAUUGAAUGGUUUAGUGAGGUCUUCGGAUUGGUGCUGAUGGAGUGGUUCUCUGCUCUGUUAGUGCCGAGAAGAUGAUCAAACUUGAUCAUUUAGGGGAAGUAAAAGUCGUAACAAGGUU
rnacentral:rRNA from 1 species